rnacentral:lncRNA from 1 species
UUAGCCUCCGCCCCUCCAUCGUCCAUGGCUCUGUGAUCUGUCGUGUUUGUUACCCCAGUAUCCUGUCCCUUUUCCCCCGAGAUUGAUGUGUUGUUUGUUUUUUGUAUCAUUGUGGAGGAGGUUGGAGAAGCGCAGGGAGAAAGGGGACCAUGGACCAAGGUUCUACAACUUUUGUUUAUAGAUUCGGGAUUCUUAUAGCCAAAGACUAUUUUACUAGAGAUUGGCGAUUUUGGGUUUCCACUGUAGCCAUUGUAGGAUUCACUAUUUUGUUCAACAUAUUGUACCUUCUGGCACUUACGCACUUGAGCUAUUAGUACCUUUUCUUCUUCUGGUUGACAUUAUUGUUCACUAUAUAUGAUUUGUUCUCAUCCAGUUGGCAGCAGCUCAAACACAGUUUCAGACGAGGAGAAUGAGAAUGAGACAAACAUUCAGACGAGGAGAAUGAGACAAACACUCUAUAGAUGA